rnacentral:tRNA from 1 species
GCCUCCAUAGCUCAGCUGGAUAGAGCAGCAGCCUUCUAAUCUGCCGGUCGCGCGUUCGAGUCGCGCUGGGGGCACCU